rnacentral:rRNA from 1 species
CGCGUAGGUGGUUAGGUAAGCGAGAUGUGAAAGCCCCGGGCUUAACCCUGGGAACGGCAUUUCGAACUGUCUGACUAGAGUAUGGUAGAGGGUAGUGGAAUUUCCUGUGUAGCGGUGAAAUGCGUAGAUAUAGGAAGGAACACCAGUGGCGAAGGCGGCUACCUGGACCAAUACUGACACUGAGGUGCGAAAGCGUGGGGAGCAAACA